rnacentral:rRNA from 1 species
UUGAACGCUGGCGGCAGGCUUAACACAUGCAAGUCGAGCGGAGAGAGGUAGCUUGCUACUGAUCUUAGCGGCGGACGGGUGAGUAAUACUUAGGAAUCUGGCUAUUAGUGGGGGACAACAUUUCGAAAGGGAUGCUAAUACCGCAUACGUCCUACGGGAGAAAGCAGGGGAUCUUCGGACCUUGCGCUAAUAGAUGAGCCUAAGUCGGAUUAGCUAGUUGGUGGGGUAAAGGCCUACCAAGGCGACGAUCUGUAGCGGGUCUGAGAGGAUGAUCCGCCACACUGGGACUGAGACACGGCCCAGACUCCUACGGGAGGCAGCAGUGGAGAAUAUUGGACAAUGGGGGGAACCCUGAUCCAGCCAUGCCGCGUGUGUGAAGAAGGCCUUAUGGUUGUAAAGCACUUUAAGCGAGGAGGAGGGUACUGGUAUUAAUACUACCAGGUACUGGAC